AGCGCGCGUGCUGUUGCUGCUGCUGAGAGAGAGCACAUGGAGGAGAGAGCACGAGCACUUAGCAGCAUUGCUAAUGUAGCCUGAGUCGCAAAAAUAUUCAGAGAUGAGGAACGUUUAUAUGUGACAUUCAUAUGGACUGAUUUGUUUGAGGCGUCUAACACGGUCUAAAGGAAGAUGCUCAGGAUGUAAGCAGCUUCGCAAAUAAGAGACCUCUUCAGCAUCUGGGGGCUUGUUGUUUGAGUCUGAGAAAGCACCCUGGUAUCAGUCGCUUACCCUGCCAUUGAAGAAUACGGUGAAAAGGUUGUGAUAAGACCCUACUGUGGGACGGCCUGACCUUCAGAGGAUUGGACUGAACUUGGACAGCAGUGAGGCAGGGAACAUGAGGCACUUACCUGGGUACGUUGCCCUGCCAAACAUCAGGAGUCAUACCGGCAUUGGUGACAUCAAACUAUGAUGUCACUCAGACUGUUUCAUUGGACAGAAGCAUGUGCAACCUGAUCCUAAAGGGUGAUUGUAUUGAAUGUAGUUGUUUUAUUAAAAAGGUGUGUUUUAACUGAGCCUGCCAAUUUAUUGUUUAAUUUCAUAGUAAUUGGAGAACGAAAAUAUUUAUUAAACAAACAAGCAGUGUUAACUUUAACUUUAAGUUAAGCUUAAUGUCUAUUGAUCCAUCCCACAUUAAAAUAUUAUGCAACAAAAAAAUGAAGUAACAUAAAAUAAGGGUGUAAGUAAAUAUUGUUACAUGCAAGCAUUGUGAUAUUUUGUUUGGCAGUACUGCAUCGGUACUCUAUUUAUUUUUUUGCAUAAAAAUCUUUUUAUGGUAGUUGUUUCCUUUUUCAUCCUGACCACUAGAUAGCAUUUGUCUUAUCUCGAACCCUAAACAGUGACAGAAAGAACUAGCAUAGGGGUGCACCACAAAUGUUUUUGCUAUGGUUUGCAUUUGGUGGUGUGUUCUCAAUGACAGCUUUCCUAAAAUUAUAUCCUAUAAUACUCCUAAAAUAGAAAAUAUCCCAAAAUAUUGCCCAGCUUUACAGCAGCGCAACAUAUCGCAUUGCAAUCCUAAUAUAAAAGUAUGACUCCAUACUUCAUAAUGCUGUUUAACACCAAUCUCUGUCUCUCCAUACUGUACACCAAGUUUCUUGGCUUAAUAAAGGUUGAAGACCCCUGGCACAAGCGCAAUAUGUUAAAACCCAGAGUGACCCAAUAAACUAUAAUACCUAACAUGCAUCUUAAUCUGCAUCAGAUUUCAAAUAUAUUUACAGUGUAUUGUGAUGAUGCCUUUACUGUAUGUUGUAAUUGUAAUGAGAUGGUUUGAUUUAAUCCAGAGCUAUCUGUUCAUCUAUAGAGCAGCGGAUUGUUUGGAGCCCAGGUUAAUGGGAUUGCUUCAGAUCUGCUGUUAGGGAUUAAGACACCUCCCCUUUAGAUUAAUGCCCAUGCCAGGAAUGAUGGGAGUGCGGGAUUCUUCCAGUAGUAAUAGCGGGAGGGGGCGUGGUCAGCGGAUGACACGCCCACUCUGGCUAGACUGUUUUGUCUGUGGAUUCUCAUAAUCCUCUUUCUCUUACCAUGACCAUGUGAUCACCUCUAACAAAAUCCAUGAAUUUUAGGCACCAGACCUGUUGAGGGUAUUAUGUGAUGCAAACUGAAAAAUCCAGAUGCAAGGACACAAGUCUUAGUUUGUGCAUUUGGUAGUACACCCAAGAGAUCACAAGCUUGGCAAAUUUGUUGUUAACAAUAGCUCAGUGGUCAAGGAAUGUGUUUGCGAUUCAGUUCGACUGCAAAACAUCUCGAUCGGAUAUUUUCCAUCCUACACUCAAAAUGCUUCCUCUUUGCAGUGGAGAGGUUGUGUAUCCGUUAUCCCAGACUGUCAGCGCUUACAAACUAGACCAGAUUCCUUUGUAAAGUGGUCUCUCGUCUCUAUCACGGGACAUUGUUACUGGGUGGUCCUGUCACAGAAGUGUAGUGCAUAACUUGCCAGCUUUUCCUCAGGUACUUUUCAGCAUUACACACAGUAGCACAAGUUAUUUGCACUUGAAAGGGAGCCUCAUAUCUGUUUUAAUAUAACAUUUGCAAUAUGCCGCUCUCAACAUUUUCAUUCAUUCAAAAGCGACUUACAGUGCAUUCAAGUUAUACAUUUAAUCAGAAUUGUGUGAUCCUGCACAUUAACUGCAGAUUUAGUCAGUUUUUCAACGACAGAAAAAUGCUAUUUAACACUUAUCACUUUCUCUUACCCCCUCCUCUGACUCCGUUUUUAUCUAAGGGCAGCAGGCCAGGCACACGUGUAACAGCGCUCAGAAGAAGGCCAGUUCAGUGGAAACCAGCAUGCAAACACUCAGUAAAGGACACACAGACCCAAUGUCAGCAAAUAUUUGGUCACCGCUUCAAAGGGAAGCGACAGGCAAUUUGAAACUGAGGAACGGACGCAUUCUGAGUGCAUUGAGAGCUAAUUGGAUGCAGAAGGUUUAUGGUUUUAUAGUGAUUGUAUGAAUGCUUUAGUUUGUGAAUCUGCUGUAUAUUUUUAGAGGCAAACUGUGCUGCUGAGAGGUGGACUAAUGAAGGGCCUGAAGUGAAUGUGAUGUUUCGAAUGCCGUGUAAUUAGAUGGAUUGUUGAAGCAUUUAUAGUUUCCGCUCGGCUCUUUCUGUGCUCACUGUGUACUGAAUCCAGCCCUGUAGAUCAGCAACUGUGGUCAACGGCUUCAGUGGGUCACAAAUAGAUAAUGAAGGGUGUACACGCUGUUCCCACAAGGGGUAUAGUUAAGAGAAAACAGUGUACCAGGCAUGUUUAUUUGGGUGAUCAGUUUCGUGUUGGACAGUAAUUGAGGUUUUGUAUGCAGCCUAUUUUUUUUUUUAUAGAAUAGUUUAUUCAUUGUUCUGUCAUUAUUUACUCACUCUUUGUGUCUUUCCUGUGUGUUAUUAUUUUUCCAUUUAGUAUGACAGGGGACUUUUGUUAUGUAAAAAAUGUAUCCAAUACAGCAGUUUGUCAAACUCCAAAAAUGGCACUCUGACCUUACUGAUGAUAAAAUGUUAUCGGUCAUUUGUUUUAUUCAUGGAAACGAUUGCACUUUUCAUACACAAAUAUCCGCUUAAGUGGCGCAAAUACCCUUUGAGUGUGUGGGGGGGGAUUUUGAUACAACUCUUACUAUACAACAGGUGAAAAUAUUAAAUAAAUAAAUUGUUAUAGCAGUUUAAAUUUAUUUGAAUAAAUAAAAAUAAUUCCAAAACACAUUAAUUUUAAAAAUACAAUUAUAAAAUGUAAAUAUUUUACAAAAGUAAUAAUGCAAACAUGAAGCCAUAAGUCUCAAGUAGCUCUGAUCCAAAUUUCCAAGUUAAAAUCCCCAAAAGUUUUGGUUUGUGUCACACUUUUAGUGGUUUUACCAACAACGGCCACUAGGUAUCAACGGUUUGCUGCAUACUCUUGUCACAAAUUAAUAAAUUACCGUCACUGCAUUAUUAUUACUGCAGAGUGGUUUUGAAAUAUGAAAACAACAUUCUUAGAGCUUUCCAAUAAUAUAUAGUUUGUCAUGAUUGUUUAGGUUUAGAACAGGGUAUAUUAGUGCUAUACAUAUGUAAAAACAAAUUGUGUCCACGUGACAUUUUAGAAACUGAUUCUCGCUACAUCAUAAUUAUCCCAAAACAGUGAUGCAAUAUGAAAACUACACUCUUAGAGCUUUCAAACAAUAUAUAGUUUGUCAGGAUUGGAUAAGAAUUUACAUGCAAAACACUAAAGUAAAUGUAGGCGUCCCGCUGGCGGGACAAUGACAUUUCGUAGGAUAUAAAAGUUUUGAGGCACACUCUCAUCAUAAAUGAAUCAAUUACUCUCCCUACAUAAUUUAUUUUAUAAAACGCUGUUAAAAUAUGUAUUUUAGAGGCUUAGACCUUUCCAACAAUAUAUAGUUUGUUGUGAUAUACAUAAAAUUUACAUGGAAAAUAUUGAAGUAAACUUAGGUGUCCUGCUUAUGUAUUUUUUAAAGUGUUUUUCACACUGCAAUGUUUCAGAUCAUGAAACCAAUUUAAAUAUUAAUCAAAUAAAACGCAAGUAAACACAACAUGCCCUCAAAAUCUAAUAACUGGUUGUGCCACCCUUAGCCGCAACAACUGCAAUCAGGCGUUUCUGAUAACUUGCAAUGAGUCUGUUACAGCACUGUGGAGGAAUUUUGACCCACUCAUCUUUGCAGAAUUGUUGGGAGUAGGGAGGGUUUUUCGAGCAUGAAGCACCUUUUUAAGGAUUGACAGUCAGGACUUUGACUAGGCCACACCAAAGUCUUCAUUUUGUUUUUCUUCAGCCAUUCAGAGGUGGACUUGCUGGUGUGUUUUUGAUCAUUGUCCUGCUGCAGAACCCAGGUUCGCUUCAGCUCGAGCCGAGGUCAUAAACAGAUGGCCAGACAUUGUCCUUCAGGAUUUUUUGGUAGACUGCAGAAUUCAUGGUUUCAUUUAUCACAGCAAGUCUUCCAGGUACUGAAGCAACAAAACAGCCCCAGACCAUCACACUACCACCACCAUAUUUUACUGUUGGAAUGAUGUUCUUUUUCUGAAAUGCGGUGUUACUUUUACGCCAGACAUAAUGGGGGACACACCUUCCAAAAAGUUCAACUUUUGUCUCGUUAGUCCACAGAGUAUUUUCCCCAAAAGUCUUUGAAUCAUCAAGAUGUUUUCUGGCAAAACUGAGACCUUUAUGAGCCUUUAUGUUCUUUUCGCUCAGCAGCUGUUUUUGGCCCACUCUGCCAUGCAGGUCAUGAACACUUUCCUUACACUAGCACUUUUUCAUGGGGGUUUUGUCUUGUCUUUGAUGACUUUUUUUAUUUGUUUCAUGA